rnacentral:rRNA from 1 species
UAGGGAAUCUUCUACAAUGGACGAAAGUCUGAUGGAGCAACGCCGCGUGAGUGAAGAAGGGUUUCGGCUCGUAAAACUCUGUUGUUAAAGAAGAACAUAUCUGAGAGUAACUGUUCAGGUAUUGACGGUAUUUAACCAGAAAGCCACGGCUAACUACGUGCCAA